GUACAUGGUGCGGGUCCGAGCUGUGGUGAUGGCCCGAGAUGACUCCAGUGGGGGCUGGCUGCCUGUAGGGGGCGGGGGCCUCAGCCAGGUGAGCGUGUGUCGGGUCCGAGGGGCCAGGCCCGAGGGGGGGGCCCGCCAGGGGCACUACGUCAUCCACGGGGAGCGCCUCCGGGACCAGAAAACGACCUUGGAGUGUACCCUGAAACCAGGCUUGGUUUACAACAAAGUGAAUCCCAUCUUUCACCACUGGAGCCUGGGUGACUGCAAGUUUGGACUGACGUUUCAGAGCCCUGCAGAGGCUGAUGAGUUCCAGAAGAGCCUGCUGGCUGCGCUGGCCGCGCUGGGUCGAGGCUCACUCACUCCCUCUUCCUCCUCCUCCUCCUCCUCUCCUUCCCAGGAUACUGCAGAGACCCCCUGCCCUCUGACGCUCUCCCAGUACUUCAGGCAUAUGCUGUGCCCUUGACAGUGGCCCUAACCGCAUCCUUAUGAAUAGGUACUCUUAGGAUCCCCGUUUUACAGAGGAGGAAACAGAGGCUCAAAGAG
rnacentral:sRNA from 1 species